UACAGAGGUCCCAAGCGUUGUUCGGAUUCAUUGGGCGUAAAGGGUGCGUAGGCGGACUUUUAAGUCGGAGGUGAAAGCCGGUAGCUUAACUACCGAAUUGCCUUUGAAACUGAAAGUCUUGAAUUUUGUUGAGGUAGGCGGAAUGUAUCAUGUAGCGGUGAAAUGCAUAGAUAUGAUACAGAACACCGAUUGCGAAGGCAGCUUACUAAGCAAACAUUGACGCUGAGGCACGAAAGCGUGGGGAUCAAACAGG
rnacentral:rRNA from 1 species